rnacentral:rRNA from 1 species
UACGAAGGGGGGCGAGCGUUGUUCGGAUUUACUGGGCGUAAAGGGCGCGCAGGCGGCCGCAUUUGUCAGGCGUGAAAGCCCCGGGCUUAACCUGGGAACUGCGUUUGAUACGGUGUGGCUAGAGUUCGGGAGAGGAGAGUGGAAUUCCCAGUGUAGAGGUGAAAUUCGUAGAUAUUGGGAAGAACACCGGUGGCGAAGGCGGCUACU